rnacentral:lncRNA from 1 species
UGAACACAACAAUGUUCACAGGAUAGCAUGCUACUUAGCUUCAAGGAAACAAUAUGUGGCUGUUAAUGACUACAUCUCUGACACACUAGAUGUGCACUCAGAAGUACCACAAGGGUCGGUGCUUGGUCCACUGUUGUUAUUGGUUUAUAUCAAUGACAUCUAUUUAUCAGUGCAACCAACGGUGAAGAUCCGACGUUUUGUGGACGACUGUGUUGUGUAUACUAGCAUCAAUCAGCACUCUGAUCAAGUCAGACUAAAUGAUGCGUUGUAUUCAGUCAGUGCAUGGUAUGACAAAUGGGGCUUGAAGCUCAAUACUUCGAAAAUGGCGAGCAUAACAUUUAGUAACAAAAAAGAGCCUUCAGAAUUUGCUUACACCAUUAAAAAUGCUUAUGUUAAAAAACUCGGCAAGUGAAGUAUUUGGGUCUUACACUCACGAGUAACUUAAGUUGGGAAUCCCAUAUAGAUAAUCUUUGUAGUAACGCACUGAAAAAGCUGGCAUUUUUAAAACGGAAACUGUGUCAUGUGCCACUCGCCGUAAAGUUAACAGCAUACAAAGCUCUCAUCGGGCCAAAAUUAGAAUAUGCGGACUUAAUCUGGCGUCCGUAUCAACAAUAUUUAAUUACAAUAAUAGAAAGGGUGCGGAACUUAGCCUUGAGGUUUAUCUAUUCUGCCUAUUCAUGUCUCUCGAGCGUAUCUGUCCUUCGCGAUAGGGCAAAGAUGAAAAAACUCGAUCAUCGUAGAAUGGUGUCCAGAUUAAAAUUUAUCUAUCAGCUUCACCAUGGUCACGUUAAAAUAGCAUGUGAACGUUAUAUAACCGAGCUGUCCAUGCGCUUUGAUCGCACAGAGCACAGCAAAACAGCUAGGCAACCAUUUAGUCACCUAAACAUACAUCAAUAUUCCCCAUUUCCUCAUGCUAUUUCACUAUGGAAUAAAUUACUACAAGAAGUAGUUAACGUUAAUAUGACACAAUCGUUCGUUCAUCUUGUGAAUAACUUUUCUUUUGAUUAAUAGCAUGAACA